rnacentral:rRNA from 1 species
CGCUAGCUACAGGCUUAACACAUGCAAGUCGAGGGGCAUCAGGAAGAAAGCUUGCUUUCUUUGCUGGCGACCGGCGCACGGGUGAGUAACACGUAUCCAACCUGCCCUUUACUCGGGGAUAGCCUUUCGAAAGAAAGAUUAAUACCCGAUAGUAUAAUGAUUCCGCAUGGUUUCAUUAUUAAAGGAUUCCGGUAAAGGAUGGGGAUGCGUUCCAUUAGGUUGUUGGUGAGGUAACGGCCCACCAAGCCUUCGAUGGAUAGGGGUUCUGAGAGGAAGGUCCCCCACAUUGGAACUGAGACACGGUCCAAACUCCUACGGGAGGCAGCAGUGAGGAAUAUUGGUCAAUGGGCGCUAGCCUGAACCAGCCAAGUAGCGUGAAGGAUGAAGGCUCUAUGGGUCGUAAACUUCUUUUAUAUAAGAAUAAAGUGCAGUAUGUAUACUGUUUUGUAUGUAUUAUAUGAAUAAGGAUCGGCUAACUCCGUGCCAGCAGCCGCGGUAAUACGGAGGAUCCGAGCGUUAUCCGGAUUUAUUGGGUUUAAAGGGAGCGUAGGUGGACUGGUAAGUCAGUUGUGAAAGUUUGCGGCUCAACCGUAAAAUUGCAGUUGAUACUGUCAGUCUUGAGUACAGUAGAGGUGGGCGGAAUUCGUGGUGUAGCGGUGAAAUGCUUAGAUAUCACGAAGAACUCCGAUUGCGAAGGCAGCUCACUGGACUGCAACUGACACUGAUGCUCGAAAGUGUGGGUAUCAAACAGGAUUAGAUACCCUGGUAGUCCACACAGUAAACGAUGAAUACUCGCUGUUUGCGAUAUACAGUAAGCGGCCAAGCGAAAGCAUUAAGUAUUCCACCUGGGGAGUACGCCGGCAACGGUGAAACUCAAAGGAAUUGACGGGGGCCCGCACAAGCGGAGGAACAUGUGGUUUAAUUCGAUGAUACGCGAGGAACCUUACCCGGGCUUAAAUUGCAGUGGAAUGAUGUGGAAACAUGUCAGUGAGCAAUCACCGCUGUGAAGGUGCUGCAUGGUUGUCGUCAGCUCGUGCCGUGAGGUGUCGGCUUAAGUGCCAUAACGAGCGCAACCCUUAUCUUUAGUUACUAACAGGUCAUGCUGAGGACUCUGGAGAGACUGCCGUCGUAAGAUGUGAGGAAGGUGGGGAUGACGUCAAAUCAGCACGGCCCUUACGUCCGGGGCUACACACGUGUUACAAUGGGGGGUACAGAAGGCAGCUAGCGGGUGACCGUAUGCUAAUCCCAAAAUCCUCUCUCAGUUCGGAUCGAAGUCUGCAACCCGACUUCGUGAAGCUGGAUUCGCUAGUAAUCGCGCAUCAGCCACGGCGCGGUGAAUACGUUCCCGGGCCUUGUACACACCGCCCGUCAAGCCAUGGGAGCCGGGGGUACCUGAAGUACGUAACCGCAAGGAUCGUCCUAGGGUAAAACUGGUGAAA